rnacentral:lncRNA from 1 species
UAGAUAAUGAUAAAUGAUAGUAUUUAUCUUACAGUUUUAGGCAUUCACAAGCAAUUCAGAGAAGCAGGUUGUAAUUUUGGUGCGUAUAUAGGAAUGCACGCAUGACUCCAUUCUGAUGUGUGGUCAGCGCCAAAUGUUCUUCACAAUACCACACAGGCUCCAUCCUGUUCGGACAGGCCGGGUCGAGCCGUGUCAUCCUGUUCAGGACAGGCCAGGGUACGACGCCGUGUCAUCCUGUUCGGGACAGGCCAGGGUACGACGCCGUGUCAUCCUGUUCGGGACAGGCCAGGGUACGACGCCGUGUCGGGACAGGCCCAGGGUACGACGCCGUGUCAUCCUGUUCGGGACAGGCCAAGGGUCGACGCCGUGUCGGGACAGGCCAAGGGUACGACGCCGUGUCGGGACAGGCCAGGGUACGACGCCGUGUCAUCCUGUUCGGGACAGGCCAGGUACGACCCGUGUCAUCCUGUUCGGGACAGGCCAGGGUAACUGUACAUCAAACACAGGGAUCAUAAACGUUGACACUGUAUGACAUGAGUUUUAUUAUAUGGAAAUGUGACGUGCACAUUUGGACGUGGUUUGGAUUGCUUGUAUGACAUCAAAGCGUAUUCAUUAUAACAUCAACGUCUCAUCUUUUCAAAUACGUAGAGUCCUCGUAAUUUAACAGCAAUUCCCUCACUCAAAGUGUGCAAAAGUUGCCCAAUUAGCGGGAUGGAUGGGGAACUUCUCGUGCUCUAGUUCAGAACAGCUGUCAGUCAAACCCAUACAGCGUGUGAAGCUCAGAGCCUGAGCAUGUUACUGUACAGCCACUGCGUUCCAAUUUCAGUGCUUCUCAGUGUCCAGGUCUGCCGUUAUCAACCUGUGUAUAGGUAUGAUUGUAGAGUGUUAUUGGUUCUCUGUUUGUCUGGGUACUAGACGACUUGGGGGCGGCAGGGUAGCCUAGUGGCUAGAGCAUUGGACUAGUAACCGGAAGGUUGCAAGUUCAAAUCCCCAAGCUGACAAGGUACAAAUCUGUCAUUCUGCCCCUUAACAGGCAGUUAACCCACUGUUCCUAGGCUGUCAUUGAAAAUAAGAAUUUGUUCUUAACUGACUUGCCUCGUUAAAUAAAGGUAAAAUAUAAAAAAUAAACUUCCCAAACUGCCAGUGAUUCCUGACAAUUGUUUGUGUCUGUGGAACAUAGCGGAGAAGCCUAAGGAGACGUGUUCACCCUACAGAAGAGGUAUAUCCAAUGCUGGAGUCAGGCCUCUACAGAGACUGGUUACGUUAACAUCAAGGAGCUGGCUGAGGCCAUGUGCUCUUAUGACCUGGAACAUGGACCUCUACUGGCUGCAGGCACUCAACGCUGAGCUGGAACACAUGGGUAAGGACUCAAUGCUGAGCUGGGACACAUGGGUAAGGACUCACGCUGAGCUGGGACACAUGGGUAAGGACUCAAUGCUGAGCUGGGACACAUGGGUAGGACUCAACGCUGAGCUGGAACACAUGGUAAGGACUCAAUGCUGAGCUGGGACACAUGGGUAAGGACUCAAUGCUGAGCUGGGACACAUGGGUAAGGACUCAACGCUGAGCUGGGACACAUGGGUAAGGAAUACAACGCUGAGCUGGGACACAUGGGUAAGGAAUACAACGCUGAGCUGGAACACAUGGGUAAGAUAAACACUGAGCUAGGACACAUGGGUAGGAACACAACACUGGCUAGGACACAUGGGUAAGGCUAGGACACAUGGGUAAGAGCUAGGACACAUGGGUAAGGAACACAACACUGAGCUAGGACACAUGGGUAGAGCUGGACACAGGGUAGGUAGGACACAGGGAAGGCUAGGACACAUGGGAAGAUAGGACAGGGUAAGGAACACUGAGCGACACUGGGUAAGAGCUAGGACCAUGGGUAAGAGUAGGACACAUGGGUAGAGCUAGGACACAUGGGUAAGAGCUGAACAUGGUAAGAGCUAGCACAUGGGUAAGAGCUAGGUCACAUGGGUAAGAGCUAGGUCACAGGUAAGAGCUAGGUCACAUGGGUAAGAGCUAGGACACAUGGGUAGGAACACAACCUGAGCUAGGACACAUGGGUAAGAGCUAGGACACAUGGGUAAGAGCUAGGACACAUGGGUAAGAGCUAGGACACAUGGGUAAGGAACACAACGCUGAGCUAGACACUGGGUAAGAGCUAGGACACAUGGGUAAGGAACAUAUUGCUGAGCUAGGACCAUGGGUAAGAGCUAGGACACAUGGGUAAGAGCUAGGACACAUGGGUAAGGCUAGGCACAUGGGUAAGAGCUAGGACACAUGGGUAAGAGCUAGGACACAUGGGUAAGAGCUAGGACACAUGGGUAAGGAACAUUUGUGAGACAGGACACAUGGGUAAGGAACAUAUUGCUGAGCUGACGGUUAGAAUAUUGCUGAGCUAGGACACAUGGGUAAGGAAUAUAUUGCUGAGCUAGGACACAUGGGUAAGAGCUAGGACACAUGGGUAAGGAACACAAUGCUGAGCUAGACACAGGGUAAAGCUAGGACACAUGGGUAAGGAACAUAUUGCUGAGCUAGGACAUGGGUAAGAGUAGACACAUGUAAGAGCUAGGACACAUGGGUAAGGAACAUUUGCUGAGCUAGGACACAUGGGUAGGAACAUAUUGCUGAGCUAGGACACAUGGGUUAGGAUUAUUGCUGAGCUAGGACACAUGGGUAGGAACAUAUUGCUGGCUGACACAUGGGUUAGGAAUAUA